rnacentral:rRNA from 1 species
CCUACGUGACGCAGCAGUGGGGAAUAUUGGACAAUGGGCGAAAGCCUGAUCCAGCCAUGCCGCGUGUGUGAAGAAGGCCUUCGGGUUGUAAAGCACUUUCAGUGGGGAAGAAAGCCUUGGGGCUAAUACCCUCGAGGAAGGACAUCACCCACAGAAGAAGCACCGGCUAACUCCGUGCCAGCAGCCGCGGUAAUACGGAGGGUGCGAGCGUUAAUCGGAAUUACUGGGCGUAAAGCGCGCGUAGGCGGUCUGAUAAGCCGGUUGUGAAAGCCCCGGGCUCAACCUGGGAACGGCAUCCGGAACUGUCAGGCUAGAGUGCAGGAGAGGAAGGUAGAAUUCCCGGUGUAGCGGUGAAAUGCGUAGAGAUCGGGAGGAAUACCAGUGGCGAAGGCGGCCUUCUGGACUGACACUGACGCUGAGGUGCGAAAGCGUGGGUAGCAAACAGGAUUAGAUACCCCAGUAGUC